rnacentral:rRNA from 1 species
GAUGAACGCUGACAGAAUGCUUAACACAUGCAAGUCUUUGGCGAAGCUGUGCUUGCACAGCCUAGCCAAGGCGGGCGGGUGAGUAACGCGUAAGGAACUUGCCCUGCAGUCAGGGAUAACAGACGGAAACGACUGAUAAGACCUGGUAAAGUCAGGCGGACUCAUGUCCAGCCUGAUGAAAAGUGAUGCUGCAGGAGAGCCUUGCGUCCUAUUAGCUUGUUGGUGGGGUAACGGCCCACCAAGGCGAUGAUAGGUAGCCGGCCUGAGAGGGUGGACGGCCACAAGGGGACUGAGAUACGGCCCUUACUCCUACGGGAGGCGGCAGUGGGGAAUAUUGGACAAUGGGGGCAACCCUGAUCCAGCAAUUCUGUGUGCACGAUGAAGGUUUUCGGAUUGUAAAGUGCUUUCAGCAGGGAAGAAAAAAAUGACGGUACCUGCAGAAGAAGCGACGGCUAAAUACGUG